UACGUAGGGUGCGAGCGUUGCCCGGAUUUAUUGGGCGUAAAGGGCGCGUAGGCGGCUCUGCACGUCCGUUGUGAAAUCGCCCGGCUCAACUGGGCGGGGUCAUUCGAUACUGGCGGGCUCGAGGCCGGUAGGGGGAAGCGGAAUUCCCGGUGUAGUGGUGGAAUGCGUAGAUAUCGGGAGGAACACCAGUGGCGAAGGCGGCUUCCUGGACCGGUUCUGACACUGAGGAGCGAAAGA
rnacentral:rRNA from 1 species